rnacentral:rRNA from 1 species
AACGUAGGACACAAGCGUUAUCCGGAGUUACUGGGCGUAAAGCGCGUGUAGGCGGGUUGCCAAGUCCGCUGUGAAAGCCCGAGGCUCAACCUCGGAGGGUCGGUGGAAUACUGGCAGUCUUGAAGGUGCUAGGGGGAGAUGGAAUUACCGGUGUAGCGGUGAAAUGCGUAGAGAUCGGUAGGAACACCAGUGGCGAAGGCGGUCUCCUGGGAGCAUUCUUGACGCUGAGACGCGAAAGCUGGGGGAGCGAAACGGG